UCCAAUAGCAUCGUAUGCAAGAAGGCAGCUUUUUCAGUGAUGGACCACCCCACUAGAGAGGGUUUAAAAUAAUAUAUACAUCCUAAUUAUCUAAUUAAGUCACAGCAAAGGCUGAGCUGGUGUAGGGUGAAUUUUUAAAUGCAAGACUUUCUUAUACAGCAAGAUAAAACAGAUUGUACUUAGAAGAUGCCACCAAAGAAAUUAACCAUUUUUGAAUGAGAAAUUGUGCACGCUAAAACAAAUGGCAGUUAAAAGCAAAAGUGAAGCAUUGGAUGAAAUUGUCUCCAGAUUAGAGAACAAGGGACAUUCCAAAUAUUCCAAUAGAUCUAAGAACCCAGACAUCACAUGCCUUUCAGAAAGAAAGAACACAGUUUUCUCAAGGUUUAAGGAAAGAUGCGAUAAA